AUGCUUAGAAGAAUGUACCAAGGUGGUUCCUUGGUGAAGAAAGGGCCCAGGAUUGCUAUACGUGAGCAAGAUGUUGAAUUGCCAAGGGACGCGGAUGUACGAGCUUGUGAGUGGCCAUCUGCUAAUUUUAUGGCCGAAGCAGACUUUAAGGAGGAAUUUGACACGUUUGUCCGUAAUGCCGAGCUGGAGGACUUCUUACAAGAUAAGUGUCCUCAGUACUAUCAAUUGACUGACUCCUUUGUGUGGAGGUUUAAAUAUAACUGUGUGCGUAAUUCUCCUAGUGUCAUAUUUGAUAUUUAUGAUACAUCUUAUACCAUGGACUUAGAGGAUUUUACAACUGCUUGCAAACUCCCGCAGUGGGGUAAUAUUAAUGAUCCUCACAAAUCUGAAUUUAGAGAUUUCCUUGCUAGUAUUAUUAUGGGAGAAUCCAGGGAUAUUGCACAAGCUACCAGAGGGAGCAUUCAUUUUCCUGCUAUACAUUAUUUUGCUCUCUCCAUUGGUAGAUACAUUAAUGGUAAAGACGAAGCAUGUCACAUGUGUGUCCCUGAUCUGUGUAUCCUCAAGAGUGCUGUGUUAGGAUAUAAAGGUUAUAACUUGGGGGAUUACGUAUUUCUCACUCACUUUACAUUCACGUUCACACACUAG
rnacentral:rRNA from 1 species